GCGUGAGUGAAGAAGGCCUUAGGGUUGUAAGACUCUUUCAGCGGGGACGAUGAUGACGGUACCCGCAGAAGAAGCCCCGGCUAACUCCGUGCCAGCAGCCGCGGUAAUACGGAGGGGGCUAGCGUUGCUCGGAAUUACUGGGCGUAAAGGGCGUGUAGGCGGGACAUCAAGUUAGGCGUGAAAGCCCCGGGCUCAACCCGGGAACUGCGCUUGAGACUGAUGACCUAGAGUCCGGGAGAGGGUGGUGGAAUUCCCAGUGUAGAGGUGAAAUUCGU
rnacentral:rRNA from 1 species